UGGAGAUGAGUUGAACUCAACAGAGAAACCAGUAGAUUAUGAUAGAUGGAGAUGAGUUGAACUCAACAGAGAAACCAGUAGAUUAUGAUAGAUGGAGAGGAGUUGAACUCAACAGAGAAACCAGUAGAUUAUGAUAGAUGGAGAUGAGUUGAACUCAACAGAGAAACCAGUAGAUUAUGAUAGAUGGAGAUGAGUUGAAUGUUCUGGACUUCCAUGUUCAUAUCAAAGGCUUCAUGCACACUGUAUAAACAGGUGUAUACAGGUAUUGAUAUGAACAGGUGUAGAUAUAAACAGGUGUAUACAGGUAUAGAUAUGAACAGGUGUAUACAGGUGUAGAUAUGAACAGGUGUAUACAGUUGUAGAUAUGAAAAGGUGUAGAUAUGAACAGGUG
ensembl:lncRNA